UGGGGCGUAGCCAAGUGGUAAGGCAACGGGUUUUGAUCCCGCUAUUCGGAGGUUCGAGUCCUUCCGUCCCAG
rnacentral:tRNA from 3 species